rnacentral:lncRNA from 1 species
GCACGUCUGCACCGCGUGCCGGGCCUUGAACGAGGACAUGAUGACGUGUAUGAGGCAGUCCGGUAGGGUGCUCAGGCGGUCCUGGUCGCCGCCGCCGCCGCCGUCCCCGCCGGGUCCGGCCCUCUUCCUUGUGGCCUCCGCUCCUCCAUGGAUUGCCCUGCUCGAGGCAAUUCGCCUAUAUGUCAGACCACACGACCAAAAAAAGAAGGGGGAAAAAAAAUCCCCAAUUCCAUCUAUACACAAAGAACACCAGAGAAUCCGGCUCGAUUACAAGACGAGACGUGGUGCUAGUUUGGGAGACGGCGCGGGAUCUCAAGAGGCAUGGAGGAAUUGCUGAAUUAAAUCCAUGACCCCAGGAAUGAUUGGGAGGGCCAGAAGCGGAACAGUCACAGGUACGGGAGGCGGCGGAGCGAGCGAGGGGAAGGGUGGUCGGGGGAACCGGGGAUUGGGGCCGUGCUUACCGAGCGCCGCGGGUUCAGCCUGCUGCGGGGGGAGGAGAGGCUCCAUUCGGAGGCGAGCGGAGAAGGAGUGGCCUAAACCCUCGACGGCGGCGACGGCGAGACGGGAUGGGAGAAGAGGGCGGAGCACACGGCGCCGCCGAGCGGAGCAGGAGAGCUGCUCGGGGUUGGGCCGGCCCAUUAGAGGCCCAGUUUCCGGGUUAAAAUCUAAUUAUAAUAAUUUUCGCUAGAGAGGGAGGAUCCAUCUGUUUUUUGUAUUAAGUGCGGAAUUUCUAAGUGCUGGCCGG